CACCCAGUUCAGGAACUCCAACUGAAGCCUUGGGUUAAAGUGGGGAACACAGAGAAUCAUGGAAUCAUGGACUCAUUCAGGUUGGAAAAGACCUCUAAGAUCAUCAAGUCCAACCAGUAACCUGCCCCUAAACCACGUCCCUAAACACCACACCUACAUGUUUUUGAGCCCUUCCAGGGAUGGUGAUUCCACCACUGCCCUGGGCAGCCUGUUCCAACACCUGGCCACCCUUUCAGCAACGGAAUCUUCCCUAACAUCUAACCUAAACCUCUCCCAGCGCAACUCUGAGGCCUUUUCCUCUUCUCCCAUCAAGCACAAGAGCACGGAAACCCAGAAAGGAUGGACGUGGCCGGCCAGCCAAAGCAAUUCCUGCAGUUUUGGCUGGUGGCACCCAGUGCCACGAUCCCGCAGGGAGAGCGCACGGGGCUGGUUUGCAGGGCUGGCUCCUCGCAGGGAGCUUCCCCGUGCCUGUCCUCCCUUCCUCUCCUCCCUGAACCCUCGCAGCUGCUAUUUUCAGCUGAGUGACGGAAUCCAGGCAGGUCUGUCUCGAGGGAGGGCGGGGGGAAGUCAGCUGGUGAAUCAACAGCAGGCCAAGGCACGCUCCCCGGCCGUGGCUCCGGGGAAGUUAUUCAUCUCGCAAUUCGCCCUUGGGUUGCCUUGGCCUCGUUUUUCCCAUGGCUGGGCCCCGUGUUGUUGCAGUCAUUGUGCAGAAGCAUACUAACUGUUUGCCACUGAGGCCUUUCAUCUCCUGUAUUUUAAUACGUUCAUUUGACAGUCAUCUCCUACCUCACCCCUGAGGGCACGGAGCUGAAUUUGGGCUCAUUUCUGCCCCAAGUGAGGAAUACAGUGACACAACUGAGAGAAGGAUGGCCAACACUGCCUUUCAGAGCCACCACUGCCUUUCAGAGCCACCACCCCUACAUUCCUUCCCAGUGUUCCCAGAGCCAAGCUGACGUGGCCGUCGCAGAGGGAACAAGCAUCUGUGUGGCCGCAGUGUCAUCCCUCUGCACAGUGACUUUCCUCACGACAAGGGGAGAUGUGUUCAGCAGCCUGGGGCCUGCCAGGGCUUCUGUGCUGCUGCAGACUUUUAAAAUAAAUAAGUCUUGAUCCCUC